GUUAAGUUACAAAGGGCGCACGGUGGAUGCCUUGGCACUAGGAGCCGAUGAAGGACGGAACUAAUAC
rnacentral:rRNA from 1 species